GACAGAGGGUGCAAACGUUGUUCGGAAUUACUGGGCGUAAAGCGCGUGUAGGCUGCUCCGAAAGUCGGGUGUGAAAGCCCUGGGCUCAACCUAGGAAGUGCACUCGAAACUUCGGAGCUGGAGUCCUGGAGAGGAAGGCGGAAUUCUCGGUGUAGAGGUGAAAUUCGUAGAUAUCGAGAGGAACACCGGUGGCGAAGGCGGCCUUCUGGACAGUGACUGACGCUGAGACGCGAAAGCGUGGGGAGCAAACAGG
rnacentral:rRNA from 1 species